rnacentral:rRNA from 1 species
GAUGAACGCUGGCGGCGUGCCUAAUACAUGCGAGUCGAGCGAACAGAUGAGGAGCUUGCUCCUCUGACGUUAGCGGCGGACGGGUGAGUAACACGUGGAUAACCUACCUAUAAGACUGGGAUAACUUCGGGAAACCGGAGCUAAUACCGGAUAAUAUAUUGAACCGCAUGGUUCAAUAGUGAAAGACGGUUUUGCUGUCACUUAUAGAUGGAUCCGCGCCGCAUUAGCUAGUUGGUAAGGUAACGGCUUACCAAGGCAACGAUGCGUAGCCGACCUGAGAGGGUGAGCGGCCACACUGGAACUGAGACACGCUCCAGACUACAGCGGGAGGCAGCAGGAGGGAAUGUUCCGAAAGGGGCGAAAGCCUGACGGAGUAUGGCCGUGUGAGUGAUAAAGUUCUUCGGUUCGUAAACCUCUUUUAUUGGGAAAGAAAAAAUGUGUAACUAACAAUGCCCGUCUUGACGGUACCGAAUCAGAAGGCCACAGCUAACUACGUG